GUACUCGCUUCGGCGGUACAUAUACUAAAAUUGGAACGAUACAGAGAAGAUUAGCAUGGCCCCUGCGCGAGGAUGACACGUCGGCACGGUUGUUCAGCGUAUUC